GACGAACGCUGGCGGCGUGCUUAACACAUGCAAGUCGAACGGAAAGGCCCUGCUUUUGUGGGGUGCUCGAGUGGCGAACGGGUGAGUAACACGUGAGUAACCUGCCCUUGACUUUGGGAUAACCUCAGGAAACUGGGGCUAAUACCGGAUAGGAGCUCCUGCUGCAUGGUGGGGGUUGGAAAGUUUCGGCGGUUGGGGAUGGACUCGCGGCUUAUCAGCUUGUUGGUGGGGUAGUGGCUUACCAAGGCUUUGACGGGUAGCCGGCCUGAGAGGGUGACCGGCCACAUUGGGACUGAGAUACGGCCCAGACUCCUACGGGAGGCAGCAGUGGGGAAUAUUGCACAAUGGGCGGAAGCCUGAUGCAGCAACGCCGCGUGCGGGAUGACGGCCUUCGGGUUGUAAACCGCUUUCGCCUGUGACGAAGCGUGAGUGACGGUAAUGGGUAAAGAAGCACCGGCUAACUACGUGCCAGCAGCCGCGGUGAUACGUAGGGUGCGAGCGUUGUCCGGAUUUAUUGGGCGUAAAGGGCUCGUAGGUGGUUGAUCGCGUCGGAAGUGUAAUCUUGGGGCUUAACCCUGAGCGUGCUUUCGAUACGGGUUGACUUGAGGAAGGUAGGGGAGAAUGGAAUUCCUGGUGGAGCGGUGGAAUGCGCAGAUAUCAGGAGGAACACCAGUGGCGAAGGCGGUUCUCUGGGCCUUUCCUGACGCUGAGGAGCGAAAGCGUGGGGAGCGAACAGGCUUAGAUACCCUGGUAGUCCACGCUGUAAACGGUGGGUACUAGGUGUGGGGUUCAUUCCACGGGUUCCGUGCCGUAGCUAACGCUUUAAGUACCCCGCCUGGGGAGUACGGCCGCAAGGCUAAAACUCAAAGGAAUUGACGGGGCCCCGCACAAGCGGCGGAGCAUGCGGAUUAAUUCGAUGCAACGCGUAGAACCUUACCUGGGUUUGACAUGGAUCGGGAGUGCUCAGAGAUGGGUGUGCCUCUUUUGGGGUCGGUUCACAGGUGGUGCAUGGCUGUCGUCAGCUCGUGUCGUGAGAUGUUGGGUUAAGUCCCGCAACGAGCGCAACCCUUGUUCACUGUUGCCAGCACGUUAUGGUGGGGACUCAGUGGAGACCGCCGGGGUCAACUCGGAGGAAGGUGGGGAUGACGUCAAGUCAUCAUGCCCCUUAUGUCCAGGGCUUCACGCAUGCUACAAUGGCUGGUACAGAGAGUGGCGAGCCUGUGAGGGUGAGCGAAUCUCGGAAAGCCGGUCUCAGUUCGGAUUGGGGUCUGCAACUCGACCUCAUGAAGUCGGAGUCGCUAGUAAUCGCAGAUCAGCAACGCUGCGGUGAAUACGUUCCCGGGGCU
rnacentral:rRNA from 1 species